CGCGGGCCUCGGUUUCCACACCAGGAACCGUUUUAGCCAGCCUGGAGCUGCCUUUGGAGUCGCAGCUGCUUCCGCCUUCUUCCCUGAGGAGUGCACCUGGACAGAGAUGAAGUGAUUUGAUGUCAUACAGCAAGCAACGAGCAGGGCCAGGAUUCGAACCCGAGUCUGACUCCAGAGCCCAGGAAUCCACUUAUUCUGCCUUCUCCUCUGUGCAAACCACUUUCAAGGUUCUAUGAAUACAAACAGGUAUACAUUUUGAUCCCUGGCCUUCAGAAACCUUACAGACAUGCUGAGAAGAUGAAACGAGAACAUGAAAUGCUAAAUAAUGCCCAGCACCAUCUGCUAAGUGUUCUGCCCAUGGAACAGACAGGCAGGAACUUAUCGGGCAGAGGAGAAGAUCUGUGAGGCCAGGGUGGUCUAAAAGGCUCCAUGGAGGAGCAUGGCAUUUGACUGGCCUCGACAGACAGAGAGAACUUAGGUAAGCUGACAGGAGGAAAUCAACUAAGGUACAGAGGACUUCGAACACAUGGGUUCAAGUCCCAGCUCUGACAUUAUCUGUACAAUCCAAGGAAAGUCCUUAUCCUCUACUGCCCCAUUUCCUUUACUAUAAAGAGAAAGGCUCAAAAGGUGACAUGGAAUAGUGGGGAGAGCAGAAGUUUGGAACCAGAAGAAACCUCAGAGAGGUGGGGAGGGAGGGGGUAGUGAUUUAAGGGGGCCAGGAUGUUGACAGAAUUCUCUCUUGACAAGUAGUGGUUCUCUGAGUAAUCACCAUGAUAAUCCAUUGAGUGGUAAAAGUCAAACAAACAAAAAACCCUAGCUUCUAACUUUUAUUUUGCCUUAAGCAAGGCAAAUUGUCCCUCUGUUUCUUUAUCUAUAAAUGGAGGGAUGAUACCUCACAGGAGGGUAUCAGGAUGAGCUGAGCUGAUAGAGGGUGCCUGGAAGUACCUGAAUCAUUGUAGAUGCUUAGUCAACAUAGACAGCUAAGAGAGUAGGAAACCAGCAUGUCCAUACCCAAUGGGUAACCAAAGGCCUGGGAAGAAACAGAGGGAAGAAAAGAACAUCUUCCUAAGCCAGACAUAAUGGAAUGCAUGUGGAGAAUUGGUAUGUUGGUAGGUUUUUAGACCAAGGAAGAUACUAUUCAUCUGAGAUGGUUGAAUUCAGAUUGUUUCCAUGUCAAAAAACUGACAUAUCGCUUCUGUUUCUGUCUUCUUCCCUGACUCCUAUCACCCUCCAGAGCUUGUUUGAACUAAAAUAAACCUCUUCCAUUACCUUAA